UGUAAUGAUGAUUCAAUAGACUAGAGUCUCUGAGAACAUGAUGUCUUUUACAUCACACUGAACA